rfam:Ictidomys tridecemlineatus contig095410, whole genome shotgun sequence.
UGGGCUAUAGCUCAGUGGCAGAGUCCUUGCCUAGCAUGUAAGAAGACCUGGGUUUGAUCCUCAGCACCACAA